rnacentral:rRNA from 1 species
GACAGAGGAGGCAAGCGUUGUCCGGAUUAACUGGGCGUAAAGAGCUCGUAGGCGGUUUGUCGCGUCUGCUGUGAAAACCCGAGGCUCAACCUCGGGCCUGCAGUGGGUACGGGCAGACUAGAGUGCGGUAGGGGAGAUUGGAAUUCCUGGUGUAGCGGUGGAAUGCGCAGAUAUCAGGAGGAACACCAAUGGCGAAGGCAGAUCUCUGGGCCGUAACUGACGCUGAGGAGCGAAAGCAUGGGGAGCGAACAGG